AUUGAACGCUGGCGGCAGGCCUAACACAUGCAAGUCGAGCGGUAGCAGGAAGAAUGUUCCUGCAUUCCGCGCGGGACGGGGGAGUGAGGGCAAUGUCUGUGACACUUAGUGAUGGAUGAGGUCAGCUAAUGGGAACGAAAACCGCAUCCGCCCAACGUGGGAAGGCGAGAGAUCGUGGACCUCCGGGCUCUUGCCAGCGGAUGUGCCCAAAUGGGAUUAGCUAGUAGGUGGGGUAACGGCCCACCUAGGCGACGAUCCCUAGCUGGUCUGAGAGGAUGACCAGCCACACUGGAACUGAGACACGGUCCAGACUCCUACGGGAGGCAGCAGUGGGGAAUAUUGCACAAUGGGCGCAAGCCUGAUGCAGCCAUGCCGCGUGUAUGAAGAAGGCCUUCGGGUUGUAAAGUACUUUAAGCGGGGAGGAAGGGAGUAAAGUUAAUACCUUUGCUCAUUGACGUUACCCGCAGAAGAAGCACCGGCUAACUUCGUG
rnacentral:rRNA from 1 species